rnacentral:tRNA from 1 species
GGACUCGUAGCCUAGCAUGGCUGUUUUUACUCCAGUAUAAAUGGUGUAAAUAGGGCGUCGGACUUCUAAUCCGAAUGUCGCAGGUUCGAAUCCUGCCGGGUCCG